rnacentral:lncRNA from 10 species
CAGAACCUCAAUUUUCUCAUCCAUGAAAAUGAGGUUAAUGAUGGCUACCUCAGUGGGCUGUCAUGCGAGUUAACUAAAAUAAUCUACUGAGAACACUUAGUCUAGUUCUUGAAAAAGCAGACCUUCAGAAAAUGCUUGCUUUUUUCCGCCUCUUUUGACUCAAUGUCUUUGAUUUGAUAUCUUUGUUAUAUCUUCACAGUAGCAACACACAUAUACUUAAUGACAGGCAACUGGCUAUGGGCCUAAUUUUGUCCUAGGCUGGCUUUGCCACAUCCUAUUUUUUUAUCUGCAGUCUUUUCUCACCCUCCCUCCAUGUCUCUCUAGUGCUCUCCUGGCUCAUGUCCCAUGGAGGAGGAAAGCCUCUGAUCCACUGUGUCACAUUGAGGGAUGGGACAAAUACACGUGUCCCCUUCCAAGAUAUAUCAACAAGAAAAGAGGAGAUGGCAUUGCUUAACCCUAAUGAAUGGUCCUUCCCAUGGGAUACUAGGAAACACAGAAAAUAGGGCACUGGAGGAGAUGCUUGGAGAGCUGAGAUAGAGAGCUAUAGGUACCCAAUAUCUUCAACAGAGACUAGUCCACAUUCUCAGAGAACUUACCAUCGAUAUAAGGAAAUAUAAUACACCUAAUAUGCAAGAGCCUGAGGAUAAUGACUGACUAAUCUGUGGCACUAGCUCUAAUGCAGUGACACUCAGCGGAUGGUUCACAGAUGUCUGGAAUGGCCAGAAAAGCCUCCCUACUGAACAUUGGGAGGGCCUGGAGGAGCUAAUCAAUCUGCCCACCCACCCAUUCUUUUUUGUCUUGGUCCCAGAAAGAGGAACUUUUGCUGACAGAAACUGUUUUGACCACCUUUUCUUGUUGUACUCAGGGCAUCAGUCCCUUCCUUGUUCACAGGGUUGUAUACAAAGUGUCCUAGCCCUCCCCAGCUACAAAUUCCACCCUCAAUCUGCAGUGACAAGAGCGUGACAUGGCGGAGUCUUUCAUCAAGAGAGCAGUAUGUAGCCUCACAAACACAGUACGGGCUGUGUCAACAUGCACAACUCAGUUGCAGAGCAAAUAGUUGAUUUUUUUAGACCAAGUCAAUAAGCUGCUUUUCACAGGGAGAAGAGGGACCAGGAUAGGCACAGUUUAAACAAGAAGACACUCUGCAUUUUACCCUAAAUGUUUCCAUUGUUCUAUAUCUUGCCAGUGGUUGGUAGCAAGUCAAAGCAAAAACUGACAUUUAGUGUUCCAGAGUCUUCUGGAAGAGAGCCAGCUAAUGAAUUACCAGAUGAACAGCUUUUGGCUCACUUAUCAAGGACAAAUCUUAUGCCAGCUGAGAUGCUAAGAUGCUGUUGCAAUAGCAAACUAACAACCACAAUAACAACAACAAUAAUUUACCAGGAUGAUUGCAAGAAUGCAGGACAGACAAUUUUCUUUGUUGGCUGUAAUCUGGAAAUACGUUUAGUUUUGAUUUUUCAUCCACAUUAGAUGCUCAUAACAUGACAUUCUAAACAGAGACAUUUUAGGCUGGAUAUCAACAGAGAAUUAUUUUUAUUCAUCAUUAGUUUCAUCAAAAACUUAACAGCUGAUAUAGAUUUCAUCAAAUGAUGAGGGAGAUUAGUAUGAUGUAAAAAAAUUCACAACAAGGCACAAGGCUCACACCUGUAACCCCAGCACUUUAAGAGGCAGAGGCAGGAGGAUCAGAUUGCUUGAUUCCAGGUGUUCAAGACCCUGUUUCUAUAAAUAAAUAAAUAAAUAAAUAGUGGGGCAUGGUGGGGCACGCCUGUGGUCCCAGCUAAUUCAGAAGCUGAAGUGGGAGGAUCACCUGAGCCUGGGAGGUUGAGCCUGCAGUGAGCCAUGAUCACGCCACUGCACUGCAGCCUGGGUGACAGAGUGAGACCCUUCUAAAAAAAUCACUAUAAAGAUGUAUUUUAUUCUUUUGCUCUGCCUUGUAACACUACCGUUCAUCUAAUACUCAGACAAACUGAGGGUAGAAGAUUCAGGCUUAAUUGUCCCUCCUCUCCACCAAUACCCCCUGUACUAGUCUGAAAUGACAAGGUAGGAGCUCCUCUUAGCAAUAUUUACAGACCAUUCUUCACAUAAAAGAAUAUAAGAACUCUCAAAAAGCUAAAUAAACAGAGUACUCUAAACAAGCCCUCUUCCUGUCCUUUUCUCAGAAGUCUGCUGCAAAGGCUCUUGGUCAGUGCCACAGGCUGUUCUUUUAUCUCAGUAACCGGAGUGCCUUUGCAAAGCUGGCCUGGAGGUCAGGUCUCAGGCUCACUCCCCGGUAUUCAGUGAAUUCUUAGUCAAGUCCAAGCUUGAGUCAGCUGCCUCCAUUGUAACUCUUUUGCAAUUCGAUGGAUAGCUUGGUCCUUAUGUCUUGAGGAUUGGAAUCUCCUGGGCAGGGAUUGGAUUUCACUUUCCAUGUCUACAGUGUUUGCACUAAGGUUAUUAAUAUAUUCUCUACAGGAGGGAUCAUAUUGAGAGCAAGCUGAAAUUCACAUAACAAAGCCUGUGGCUUGAAACUACGCUGGGCCAAGCCCCCAGGGGGAUACUGGGUAACUCUGAGCAGCCAGUCACCCUUGGAGAACAUUGAGAAGCAUCUGAGUCUACCCUUUCUGGGACACAGCAUCUUUCUAUAUUAGACCCACUCUCCCAGACUUCCCACCAUACCUGGAGGUGCCCUGCAACGCCAAUGAGGGAAAAUGUAACCUGAGGAACACUCAUUUCCACCGUGGUGUGAGGGACUCAGAGGAUUCCCUUUCCCAAAGUUCCAUUUAGAAUGAAAUGAAUGAAUAAUUUAUACCAGGGUAAGAGUCAAUAAGACCAUUAAAGGAGCAGGCAACUGUAAUACAAAGAGCACACCCUCUAGGAUCAGACCAGGAUUUGAAACUCAGUUCUGCUCUUUACUAACUGUGUGGCCUUAGGCAAGCAGUUAGCCUACCAGUGCCUCAGUUUCCUCCUCUGUCUCUGUACAAUAGGUAUGAUACUAAUCAACAACCUUGUAAGGUAUGCAUGUAAAGCUAGAGGAUAAUAUACAUAAAAGGCCUUUUACAGGCCCUUACAGAGAAUGGGUAUCCAACAAAUGGCAGUUACUGUUAUUAAACAAAGCAGGAGAGAUGUCUGGGAACUUCUUAAUGUCUUUCAAAUCACAGCCCUAGGUGAAUGUUUAUAUCCAAUCUAGACAAGAAUUACCCUGUUCAAAUACAUCAUUGGAUCUAUACAGAUGUUAUUAUUUUUCAUUGUUUUGUUUUGUUUUUUGAGACAGGGUCUCGCUCUGUUGCCCAGGCUGGAGUGCAGUGGCACAAUCAUGGCUCGCUGCAGCCUCGACCUCCCUGGGCUCAAGCAAUUCUCCCAUCCCAGCCUCCCGAGUAGCUGAGACUGCAGGUGCAUGCCACCACGCCUGGCCAAUGUUUUGUAUUUUUCAUAGAGGCAGGGUUUUGACAUGUUGUCCAGGCUGGUGUUGAGCUCCUGGGCUCAAGCAAUCCUCCCACCUCAGCCUCCUGGGUUGCUGGGACUACAGGUGCAUGCCUCUAUGCCUGGCUAAUUUUUGUAUAUUUUGUAGAAACAGAGUUUCACCGUGUUGCCCAAGCUGUUCUAGAACUUCUGGGCUCAAGCAAUCCUCCCAGCUUGGCCUCCCAAAGUGCUGGGAUUACAGAUGUGAACCGCCAUGCCCAGCUUAUACAUACGUUUUAAUACUUUUCUGCCUUCAUGUUUUUAAUAACCCAAGUAAGGCUUGACUGAAACUCUUUGUAAAUGUUCAAAUAUCAUAGAAGGUGCAAAAAUUCCUCUUGACCCCCAUACAAUUCCAUUCCCUUCCCCUGAGGUAGCUGCUGUUUUCAGUUUGUUUUGUAUGUUGGAGGGCCUUUAUUGUAACCAAGUACACAUAUGAAUACACAUAUUAAAAUAAAGAAUGUUGUUUUUGUGGGUUUUUUUUGAAAAGGAAAAUGUAUGUUUUGGAUGUAUGCUUUUGAUAUUUUAUUGAACUAUAAUAUACACUUGGAAAAGUGAACAUAAGUGUACAAUUGAUGAAACAUACAUGAACUGAACAUACCUAUGUAAUCAGCCCUCAUACCAAGAAAUGCUGCCAUCACCUCAAAAGCCUCUCUUGUGCCCCGUUCCAGUCAACAAAUCCCAACCAGUGGCCACUAUUUCUGAUUUAU